rnacentral:rRNA from 1 species
GACGAACGCUGGCGGCGUGCUUAACACAUGCAAGUCGAACGGAAAGGCCCUGCUUUUGUGGGGUGCUCGAGUGGCGAACGGGUGAGUAACACGUGAGUAACCUGCCCUUGACUUUGGGAUAACUUCAGGAAACUGGGGCUAAUACCGGAUAGGAGCUCCUGCUGCAUGGUGGGGGUUGGAAAGUUUCGGCGGUUGGGGAUGGACUCGCGGCUUAUCAGCUUGUUGGUGGGGUAGUGGCUUACCAAGGCUUUGACGGGUAGCCGGCCUGAGAGGGUGACCGGCCACAUUGGGGCUGAGAUACGGCCCAGACUCCUACGGGAGGCAGCAGUGGGGAAUAUUGCACAAUGGGCGGAAGCCUGAUGCAGCAACGCCGCGUGCGGGAUGACGGCCUUCGGGUUGUAAACCGCUUUCGCCUGUGACGAAGCGUGAGUGACGGUAAUGGGGAAAGGAGCACCGGCUAACUACGU